UACGUAGGCAGCGAGCGUUGUUCGGAGUUACUGGGCGUAAAGGGUGUGUAGGCGGUUCUUAAGUUUGGUGUGAAAUCUCCCGGCUCAACCGGGAGGGUGCGUCGAAUACUGAGGGACUAGAGUGCGGGAGAGGAAAGUGGAAUUCCUGGUGUAGCGGUGAAAUGCGUAGAUAUCAGGAGGAACACCGGUGGUGUAGACGGCUUUCUGGACCGUAACUGACGCUGAGACACGAAAGCGUGGGUAGCAAACAGG
rnacentral:rRNA from 1 species